UACGAAGGGGGCUAGCGUUGCUCGGAUUUACUGGGCGUAAAGGGCGCGUAGGCGGACAUUUAAGUCAGGGGUGAAAUCCCGGGGCUCAACCUCGGAACUGCCUUUGAUACUGGGUGUCUUGAGUGUGAGAGAGGUAUGUGGAACUCCGAGUGUAGAGGUGAAAUUCGUAGAGUAUUCGGAAGAACACCAGUGGCGAAGGCGACAUACUGGCUCAUUACUGACGCUGAGGCGCGAAAGCGUGGGGAGCAAACAGG
rnacentral:rRNA from 1 species